ACUGAAUAGAUACCCGGGUAGUCCACGCCGUAAACGAUGAGUACUAGGUGUAGGAGGUCGAUCCCUCCUGUGCCGUAGCUAAACGCGUUAAGUACUCCGCCUGAGGACUACGGUCGCAAGACUAAAACUCAAAGGAAUAGACGGGGUACCCACACAAGCGGUGGAGCAUGUUGUUUAAUUCGACACUAAACGAGAAACCUUACCCAGGUUUGACAUCCCGAGAACCCGUGCAGAGAUGCGGGGGUUGCCGCAAGGAACUCGGUGACAGGUGCUGCAUGGUUGUCGUCAGCUCGUGCCUUGAGGUGUUCGGUU
rnacentral:rRNA from 1 species